CAGCAUUCUUGCGAGAGUCAGUAAGAACAAUACGGCGGAGGCAUUCAGAAGAAUUACCCCGACGCAUGCACUUGAAUAAGCCGGAGGAUGCUAUCAAAAGGCGAGAUGCUC
rnacentral:rRNA from 1 species